GAAACUUGAUCUGAGUGAAACCGCAAUUGAAAGUCUACCUGCAAGCAUUGGUAAUUUGGAAUCUCUUGAGAACCUUGAUUUGAGUGGAACCGCAAUUAAAAGCCUACAUGCAAGCAUUGGUAAAUUGCAAUAUCUUCAGAAAUUUUAUCUGAGUGGAACCGCAAUGGAAAGCCUACCUGCAAGCAUUGGUAAUUUGAAAUGUCUGGAUAAACUUGAUCUGAGUGGAACCGCAAUUAAAAGCCUACCUGCAAGCAUUGGUAGUUUGAGAUCUCUUGAGAAACUUGAUCUGAGUGGAACUGCAAUUGAAAGCCUACCUUCAAGUAUUGGUAGUUUGAAAUCUCUUGAGAACCUUGAUUUGAGUGGAACCGCAAUUGAAAGCCUACCUGCAAGCUUUGACAAUUUGAAUUCUCUUGUGAAACUUGAUCUGAGUGGAACCGCGUUUAAAAGCUUACCUGCAAGCAUUGGUAAUCUGAAAUCUCUUGAGAAACUUGAUCUGAGUGGAACCGCAAUUGAAAGCCUACCUGCAAGCAUUGGUAAUUUGAAAUCUCUUGAGAAACUUGAUCUGAGUGGAACCGCUGUUGAAAGCCUACCUGCAAGCAUUGGUAAUUUGGAAUCUCUUGAGAAACUUGACCUAAGUGGAACAGCAAUUAAAAGCCUACCUGCAAGCAUUGGUAAUUUGGAAUGUCUUGAGAAACUUGAUCUGAGUGGAACCGCAAUUGAAAGCCUAC
rnacentral:lncRNA from 1 species